AUUGAACGCUGGCGGCAGGCUUAACACAUGCAAGUCGAGCGGAGAGAGGUAGCUUGCUACCGAUCUCAGCGGCGGACGGGUGAGUAAUGCUUAGGAAUCUGCCUAUUAGUGGGGGACAACAUUUCGAAAGGAAUGCUAAUACCGCAUACGUCCUACGGGAGAAAGCAGGGGAUCUUCGGACCUUGCGCUACUAGAUGAGCCUAAGUCGGAUUAGCUAGUUGGUGGGGUAAAGGCCUACCAAGGCGACGAUCUGUAGCGGGUCGGAGAGGAUGAUCCGCAACACUGUGACGUAGACACGGCCCAGACUCCUACGGGAGGUAGCAGUGGGGAAUAUUGGACAAUGGGCGGAAGCCUGAUCCAGCCAUGCCGCGUGUGUGAAGAAGGCCUUAUGGUUGUAAAGCACUUUAAGCGAGGAGGAGGCUACUUUAGUUAAUACCUAGAGAUAGUGGACGUUACUCGCAGAAUAAGCACCGGCUAACUCUGUGCCAGCAGCCGCCGUAACAC
rnacentral:rRNA from 1 species